rnacentral:lncRNA from 1 species
CAAAACUAUACAUAUGAUCUUUAAAAAAAUUUUUUUUACAUUUAUUUAUUUUAGAGAGACAAAGACAGAGCACAAGUGGCGGAGGGACGGAGAGAGAGGAAGACAUAGAAUCUGAAGCAGGCUCCAGGCUCUGAGCUGUCAGCACAGAGCCCAACCUGGGGCUCGAACUCACAAAAGUGAGAUCAUGACUUGAGCCGAAGUCAGAUGCUUAACCGACUGAGCCACCCAGGCGCCCCAAAACUAUACAUAUUAUCUUAAAAUGGGAAUGAGGAAUAGAUAUUUUCAAAAUUCUUUUAGGAGCUGUAAGAAAAAAAGUUUGUACUCCACAGGGGGCCUUGUGGCAGGAACCGAGCACUAUAGAGAAGCAGCGCCACCUUGUGGCUAGUUGAGAGGCUGCAGCAGAAUGAGCAAAGAGUCCUAGAAAGAAGCUAUGGCCCCCGGGAUCCAGCCACAACAAACACAACAAAUAGGAACCAGAAGUCAGUCUAUAUGAACAGGUUAUAUCUUGUGUUAAAUAACAGUAUAAAUUGUUGCCAGGAAUGGAAGGACCAGCCACAUCAUAAACAUGACAUUGUUCCAGUCCCUAAGACUCCACAUUUGCAAUCGGAGAUGGGUUCACACUUUGGAAUCUGAAGCCCCCUGGAAACUCCGUGACUCCCUAUGGAGCCUGGAAUGCUAAAGACAGAAGUGAACUCUGUGACUCUCUAACUGGUGAAAGCUGCCCAGGACCCUUCCAGAAUGAAGCAGAGCAAAGUCCAGAAGAUGAAUGUCUCCUAAAACUUAGGAGCAGGUAAACCCUCUUCAAAGUAUUCAGAAUUGCUCCUUCCCUGUUCCAUUAGUGCCUUAGCCCCUGACCAAGGCCUGUGAGGGUAGCUAUUAUCUACCAUCGGCUGGGAACUUUACAUGUCCAUGGAUCUCUAACUUCCCAUUACAUUGUAAAAUAGAGCAAGCCUGCAAAAAAGUAUCAGGACAAACGUGUGCAUAGAUGAACCUCACAAACAUGCUCUAAAUGAAAGAAGCCAGUCGCAAGAGGCCACCGGUUGUCUGCUUCCAUUUAUGUGAAAUACCCAGAAGAGGCACUUUAGAGAUAGAAAGUAGAUGAGUGAUUGCCAGAGGCUGGGGAACAAGGUGGGGAGGGGUGAAUACCUGCUAAUGGGCAGAGUUUCUCUUUGAGGUGACAUAUUCUAAAAUUAGAUUUGUGUAGGGGCGCCUGGGUGGCUCAGUGGUUAAACUCCCAGCUUCGGCUCAGGUCAUGAUGUCCCGGUCUGUGAGUUUGAGCCCCUCAUCGGUUCCGUGCUGACAGCUCAGAGCCGGAGACUGGAUUCCGUAUUUCUCUCUCUGCCCCUCCCCUGCUCACACUCUGUGUGUGUGUCUCUCUCUCAAAAAUAAAUAAACAUUUAAAAAAAUUAAGUAAAAAAACGAAAAAAUUUACAGAUAAAAACAAAAUUACACUGUGGUCAUGAUUACACUACGUUGAAUAUAUUAAG